CAGCAGUGGGGAAUAUUGCACAAUGGGCGCAAGCCUGAUGCAGCCAUGCCGCGUGUGUGAAGAAGGCCUUCGGGUUGUAAAGCACUUUCAGCGGGGAGGAAGGCGAUAAGGUUAAUAACCUUGUCGAUUGACGUUACCCGCAGAAGAAGCACCGGCUAACUCCGUGCCAGCAGCCGCGGUAAUACGGAGGGUGCAAGCGUUAAUCGGAAUUACUGGGCGUAAAGCGCA
rnacentral:rRNA from 1 species